rnacentral:rRNA from 1 species
UACGUAGGGGGCUAGCGUUGUCCGGAUUUAUUGGGCGUAAAGAGCGUGUAGGCGGCCUGGUAGGUCUGCUGUGAAAACUCGAGGCUCAACCUCGAGAUGUCGGCGGAAACCAUCUGGCUAGAGUCCGGAAGAGGAGAGUGGAAUUCCUGGUGUAGCGGUGAAAUGCGUAGAUAUCAGGAGGAACACCUGCGGUGUAGACGGCUUUCUGGACCAUGCUGACGCUGAGACACGAAAGCGUGGGUAGCAAACAGG